AGGGGAAAAAUGCUGCUGAAAACCACUUG
rnacentral:piRNA from 1 species